rnacentral:rRNA from 1 species
AUGAACGCUAGCUACAGGCUUAACACAUGCAAGUCGAGGGGCAGCAUGGUCUUAGCUUGCUAAGGCCGAUGGCGACCGGCGCACGGGUGAGUAACACGUAUCCAACCUGCCGUCUACUCUUGGACAGCCUUCUGAAAGGAAGAUUAAUACAAGAUGGCAUCAUGAGUCCGCAUGUUCACAUGAUUAAAGGUAUUCCGGUAGACGAUGGGGAUGCGUUCCAUUAGAUAGUAGGCGGGGUAACGGCCCACCUAGUCUUCGAUGGAUAGGGGUUCUGAGAGGAAGGUCCCCCACAUUGGAACUGAGACACGGUCCAAACUCCUACGGGAGGCAGCAGUGAGGAGUAUUGGUCAAUGGGCGAGAGCCUGAACCAGCCAAGUAGCGUGAAGGAUGACUGCCCUAUGGGUUGUAAACUUCUUUUAUAAAGGAAUAAAGUCGGGUAUGGAUACCCGUUUGCAUGUACUUUAUGAAUAAGGAUCGGCUAACUCCGUGCCAGCAGCCGCGGUAAUACGGAGGAUCCGAGCGUUAUCCGGAUUUAUUGGGUUUAAAGGGAGCGUAGAUGGAUGUUUAAGUCAGUUGUGAAAGUUUGCGGCUCAACCGUAAAAUUGCAGUUGAUACUGGAUAUCUUGAGUGCAGUUGAGGCAGGCGGAAUUCGUGGUGUAGCGGUGAGAUGCUUAGAUAUCACGAAGAACUCCGAUUGCGAAGGCAGCCUGCUAAGCUGCAACUGACAUUGAGGCUCGAAAGUGUGGGUAUCAAACAGGAUUAGAUACCCUGGUAGUCCACACGGUAAACGAUGAAUACUCGCUGUUUGCGAUAUACUGCAAGCGGCCAAGCGAAAGCGUUAAGUAUUCCACCUGGGGAGUACGCCGGCAACGGUGAAACUCAAAGGAAUUGACGGGGGCCCGCACAAGCGGAGGAACAUGUGGUUUAAUUCGAUGAUACGCGAGGAACCUUACCCGGGCUUAAAUUGCAGAUGAAUUACGGUGAAAGCCGUAAGCCGCAAGGCAUCUGUGAAGGUGCUGCAUGGUUGUCGUCAGCUCGUGCCGUGAGGUGUCGGCUUAAGUGCCAUAACGAGCGCAACCCUUGUUGUCAGUUACUAACAGGUUCCGCUGAGGACUCUGACAAGACUGCCAUCGUAAGAUGUGAGGAAGGUGGGGAUGACGUCAAAUCAGCACGGCCCUUACGUCCGGGGCUACACACGUGUUACAAUGGGGGGUACAGAGGGCCGCUACCACGCGAGUGGAUGCCAAUCCCCAAAACCUCUCUCAGUUCGGACUGGAGUCUGCAACCCGACUCCACGAAGCUGGAUUCGCUAGUAAUCGCGCAUCAGCCACGGCGCGGUGAAUACGUUCCCGGGCCUUGUACACACCGCCCGUCAAGCCAUGGGAGCCGGGGGUACCUGAAGUGCGUAACCGCGAGGAGCGCCCUAGGGUAAAACUGGUGACUGGGGCU